CUGAGUACGGCGGAACACGUGAAAUUCCGUCGGAAUCCGGGAGGACCAUCUCCCAAGGCUAAAUACUCCCUAGUGACCGAUAGUGAACCAGUACCGUGAGGGAAAGGUGAAAAGCACCCCGGAAGGGGAGUGAAACAGUUCCUGAAACCGUGUGCCUACAAGUAGUUAGAGCCCGUUAAUGGGUGAUAGCGUGCCUUUUGUAGAAUGAACCGGCGAGUUACGAUUUGUUGCAAGGUUAAGCGGAAAAAGCGGAGCCGUAGCGAAAGCGAGUCUGAAUAGGGCGCAUAAGUAACAGGUCGUAGACCCGAAACCAGGUGAUCUACCCAUGUCCAGGAUGAAGGUAAGGUAAUACUUACUGGAGGUCCGAACCCACGCACGUUGAAAAGUGCGGGGAUGAGGUGUGGGUAGCGGAGAAAUUCCAAUCGAACUUGGAGAUAGCUGGUUCUCUCCGAAAUAGCUUUAGGGCUAGCCUCGAGGUAAAGAGUCAUGGAGGUAGAGCACUGUUUGGACUAGGGGCCCUUCUCGGGUUACCGAAUUCAGAUAAACUCCGAAUGCCAUGUACUUAUACUCGGGAGUCAGACUGCGAGUGAUAAGAUCCGUAGUCGAAAGGGAAACAGCCCAGACCACCAGUUAAGGUCCCCAAAUAUAUGUUAAGUGGAAAAGGAUGUGGGGUUGCUUAGACAACCAGGAUGUUGGCUUAGAAGCAGCCACCAUUGAAAGAGUGCGUAAUAGCUCACUGGUCGAGUGACCCCGCGCCGAAAAUGUACCGGGGCUAAACAUAUUACCGAAACUGUGGAUGAACCUCUUUAGAGGUUCGUGGUAGGAGAGCGUUCUAAGGGCGGUGAAGUCAGACCGGAAGGACUGGUGGAGCGCUUAGAAGUGAGAAUGCCGGUAUGAGUAGCGAAAGAAGGGUGAGAAUCCCUUCCACCGAAUAUCUAAGGUUUCCUGAGGAAGGCUCGUCCGCUCAGGGUUAGUCGGGACCUAAGCCGAGGCCGAUAGGCGUAGGCGAUGGACAACAGGUAGAGAUUCCUGUACCAGUGCUAAUUGUUUAACCGAUGGGGUGACACAGAAGGAUAGGGAAUCGCACGAAUGGAAAUGUGCGUCCAAGCAGUGAGUGUGAGAAGUAGGCAAAUCCGCUUCUCGCGAAGCAUGAGCUGUGAUGGGGAAGGAAAUUAAGUACGGAAGUUCCUGAUUUCACGCUGUCAAGAAAAGCCUCUAGGAAGAGUAGUACUGCCCGUACCGCAAACCGACACAGGUAGAUGAGGAGAGAAU
rnacentral:rRNA from 1 species